rnacentral:rRNA from 1 species
UACGUAGGGACCAAGCGUUGUUCGGAUUUACUGGGCGUAAAGGGCGCGUAGGCGGCUUUGUAAGUCACUUGUGAAAUCUCCGGGCUUAACUCGGAACGGCCAAGUGAUACUGCAAUGCUAGAGUGCAGAAGGGGCAAUCGGAAUUCUUGGUGUAGCGGUGAAAUGCGCAGAUAUCGGGAGGAACACCGGUGGCGAAGGCGGUUCUCUGGGACUGACCUGACGCUGAGGAGCGAAAGCGUGGGGAGCGAACAGG